rnacentral:lncRNA from 1 species
AACAAAUGGAAAUAAUGGAAAUGAAGGCAUGCGUCAUUCUGCAUGCAGCAGUAGCAGUGGCAAAGAAGAAUUCUCUAGGAUUCAUUACAGUUUUACAAGUGCGGAAAACCACGCAGCAGUAAGUGGUGCGUCCAAUAUAUGUGGUUUCAAUCAUUAAUACUUUCUACCAAAGAACUAAAUAUAGACCUCGAAUAACAUAAAACGCAACUAUUAUUAAUAUUCUUUUGUGAAUAAUUAAGUUGUAAUUAGCUGGAAUAAAUCAUAUACAGAGGCAUCAAUUAAUGUACAAAAUAUCAUUUGAUGGGGGUAAUUUUAAUAUCAUUUAGGUUGACUUCGGUCAACAUUUUGAGUAAACGGAUCCGGACCCGUGAUUUAAUGUUCCCGGAAGGCCUGUAGCAAAAUAUGGGACUUGAGCGUAUAUCCGGAAUCGAAUUCCAAGGUCUCAAACCCCAUAAAUGAAUUUUUGAAAGAAAUUAUUUAACUGAAAUUAUAAGAGUCCUCAGAAAUUUAAAUAUGUUUGAAUUUGAUGGUAUCGGGCCCGUAUUUUGGUUCCGGAGCCCGAUAUGGGUCUUAUAUGGGAUUUAAGUUGAGCUUGCAAAAUUUGGUAAGAAACAGACUUGAAAUGACGUGAUCGGACCUUCGGUUGUUAAAACUUGAACUUAAGAGUUCAUGAGAUCUUGAACUAAAUUCAUAGUUAUUGAUGUUAUUUUGAUGAUUUGAUCGCACAAGCAAGUCCGUAUGAUAUUUUUGGACUUGCGUUCAUGUUUGGUUUGGAGCCCCGAGGGCUCGGGUGAGUCUUGGAUAGGCCACAUAGUGAAAUUUGGACCGUAUGAUGUUUUUGGACUUGCAUGCAUGUUUGGUAUGGAGCCCCGAGGGCUCGGGUGAGUUUUGGAUAGGCCACAGAGUGUUUUGAACUUAAGAAAAAUUGUUGUGUGUUACAGGUUUGUUGCGAGCUCACAUUUGCGAAGACUGGGCUGGGUAGGAAACCUUCGUAACUGCGAAGCUUAUGUCGCAGUUGCGACCUUAGCAGGCAUCGCAUUUGCGGAUAAUGGUUCGCAUUUGCGAAAAAGGCAGAGUUGGGCAUCCUUCGCGAUUGUGAGUUCGCAUUUGCGAACGUAUCAUCGCAAUUUUGAUAUCUGCGCCUGUGUAAAUCAAAACUUAGCCGAAAAUUUCUCAUUUAUCAAACUCUCUCAAACCUAAAAUACCGUUGGGUGAUUUUUCAAAGACAAUUACUCUUUAAAAUUGAUUGUAAGUCAUUUCUAACGCAUUUUCAUUAAUUUUUAACAUCUUUUCUCAUGAUUUCAACUCAAAAAUCAAAAGUUUUCACGAGAAAUUGGAUGUUUUGUGUAGAACUAAGUUGCUCUGACACGGUUGCGGGUGUCCGACAUGGGUGCGGAUCUAGAGGUCGGAUCCUUUGAGAUAGAAAUUUUAAGAUCCGGGGAUACCGAUCGUAGAACCGACACGGGUACGGGGAUCCGACUAAAAAUAAUUCAAAAAAUAAAAUAAAACAAAAUGGCUUUGGAAAUGGAGGCAGCAUGCGUUUGGAAUAUAAUGUGUAAAGAAGUAGAAGACACUAGGGCAUUUGUUUGGUGAGAAGAACAUUUGGUAGUGGCUAUACUGUCACCUUUAGACUUUUUGACUUUUUGUCUUAUACAUGUACUAACAAUCAAUAUUUCCUUCAUCUUUAGGCGCAACUUUGUGCGAUUGGUACGUGUACAUCUUUGGAACUUUAAGAAUAAAUAGUGCCAAUAUUACUAAUCAGCAAACUAACGAGGCAAUAUUACUAUAACAAUAGUAUAUUAUAAUAUACAUAGGAAUAUAAUAUAUUAGAUCUCAAAUUAGAUACCAGUCCAGCAGUCCCCCCAUUAGCAACUUCUCUGCCUUAAAGAAAAACACAGAGCUGAAGAACGCGAAGCAUGGAAGCUCAAAGAUUGUUCAAGACAAAAAGCUUCAAAGGAGACAAAAGGAGUAGUAUAAAUUACUAUAUUGCAGCGAAAUUGAAGGUUCGUUUCCCAUCUCUUCAAAUCUUUACUUACGGAAAUCAAUUUCCCCAAAUUUUUGGUCAACGCACCCGAUGUAGCCUGACCGGAUCCGAAUUUCCCAUCUCUUCAAAUCUUUACUUAGGGAAAUUAAUUUUCCCAAAUUUUUGGUCAACGCACCCGAUGUAGUCUGACCGGAUCCGACACAGAUCCCACACCCUUACUAGUAUCAGUGUCGUGUCGAUACCGGUACGGCACCGGAAUUGUCGUGUCCGAGCAACUUAGAUGUAGAACAUAGAUUUUUCAAAAUUUGGGGAUUUGGACCUCGAUUUGAGGUCCGCUUUCAAAACAAAUUAUACAUUCGGGCUCGUGGGUGAAUAGGUAAUCGGGUUUUGGUUCGAACCUCGGGUUUUGACCUUGUGGGCUCGAGGUCGAUUUUGACUUUUUGGCAAAAACUUUAGAAAACUUAUUUUCAUGCAUUAGAAUUGAUUCAUUUAGCAUUUAUUGAUAUAGUUAAGUAACUUGUAGCUAGAUACGAGCGAAUUGGUGGCGGAAUCAAGAGGUAAAGCGGUAGUUGAGGCUUGAAUUGUGUUUGUGGUAUCGAGGUAAGUGAUAGGUCUACCCUUAACUUGAGGGAUUAGGAGUUGUGUCUUAUUUGAUAUGCGUUAAUUGUGGAGUACAACGUAUAGGCAUGGUGACGAGUAUCUAUACGUCGGUGUCAAGCAUGCACGUGGGUCUAGUGUUGUAAUUGUUGUGACUCCGUUGAGUUUUAUUCAUGCUCAAUAUGUUGAUUGUCAUUGUUGACUCCCUUGCCGGGAUAUUAUUGUUUGUGAUAUUAACUCCCUUGCCGGGAUAUUAUUGUUAUGACAUUGUCUUCCUUGCCAGAAUGUUAUUGUUUACGAUAUUGUUUUCCUUGCCAGAAUUGUUGUUGUUAUACUAUUGUUCUCUUGUCGAGAUUCUUUGGUGAUUGAUGUUGAUCUGUAAAUGGGAGCGGGUUGCACGCCUGCAACGAGAUAUAUGAAAUGGGAGCGGGUUGCACGCCUGCAACGAGAUACAUGAAAUGGAAGCGGGUCGCACGCCAGCAACAAGAUAUAUAAAAUGGGAGCGGGUUGCACACCUGCAACGAGAUAUUUGAGAUGGGAUCGGGUUGCACGCAUGCAACGAGAUAUAUGAAAUGAGAUCGGGUUGCACGCAUGCAAUAAGGAAGAAAUGAAAGUAGAUAUUUAAAGAAGAAAUGAAAGUGGAUAUUGUGUUCGUUUUCCUUAUCCUUGUUAGCAAUUGAAUUUUGGCUUCUUUACAUUCCUCUUUUUUUUUGGUAUUCGAUUGUUACCUAAUACUCCCCGUAAAAUUGUGACAGAUCCGUGUAUUUCUAUUCGGACUUAAUUUGUAGUACUCUUAGACAACCUGUGAAAUUGUGACACCAAAUUCUAUGUAGAGUUGUAUUUAGACUUCCGCCAGUUUGUAUUAAGCUGAAUUAUUAGAUUUCGUCUUCCACUUUGUUAUUUAUAUAAUUAUUUUCGUUAUUUUAAUAUGUUGUUUUGAAAUUAUAAGGACUUAAAGGCUUGAAAAGGAUAAUUAAAUCGGAAUAGUUGGCUUGCCUAGCUUUUACUAAUAGGCGCAAUCACGACUCCCGAUGGUGGGAAAUCCGGGUUAUGACACUCGUAUUUAAGUGGAGAAGGGCAUAGAGGCGGGCCCAUCAUCCCCGAAUUUAGAAGGUUGCGCGUGGCCCAAAAGGUCAACUCCAGAUCGAUUUCUCAAUCAUAAAAAAAGAAUAUGGUGAAGUGAAACAAUGGUAAGAUGCAUUCUGUAAUAGGAAUGCAUAGAAAGAUAACAUACUUCAAGCCAGUUAGACAACCAGAAGAACUAAUCAGAAAUUAUUCCACGGAAAAUAAUGCAGAACUUGAAGAAAUAUAGUGUAUAUUGUUUUGCUUAUUCCGAAAAAAAAAAAAAAAAAGAAAACAAAAAGGGAGACUAGAGUAAAGUAGUAUGUAUCCUGAGUUUUAAAGGAACAGUAUUUCACAGAUCAUCUAUCAUUAAAGAGAGAAACUACCAUGCAUGGAAGAAAAACAUCCUCCCCCCCCCCACUUUUUAAAGGUACAGUAUUUCACAGAUCAGCUAUCAUUAAAGAGAGAAACUACCAUGCAUGGAAGAAAAACAUCCUCCCUUAGGGAAAUUAAUUUUCCCAAAUUUUUGGUCAACGCACCCGAUGUAGUCUGACCGGAUCCGACACAGAUCCCACACCCUUACUAGUAUCAGUGUCGUGUCGAUACCGGUACGGCACCGGAAUUGUCGUGUCCGAGCAACUUAGAUGUAGAACAUAGAUUUUUCAAAAUUUGGGGAUUUGGACCUCGAUUUGAGGUCCGCUUUCAAAACAAAUUAUACAUUCGGGCUCGUGGGUGAAUAGGUAAUCGGGUUUUGGUUCGAACCUCGGGUUUUGACCUUGUGGGCUCGAGGUCGAUUUUGACUUUUUGGCAAAAACUUUAGAAAACUUAUUUUCAUGCAUUAUCAUAUCUUCAUGCUAUUCCUCAGCACUAAAAACAGCAAGUACAACCAAAAGGGGCUUACUUCUUCAAUCCAAUAAAAAUGUCUAACAGUGAAAAUCCAAAGAUCCGACAUCAGUAUCAUGCUAUUGCCAACAGUUUUUUUUUUUUUUGUUUAUUUUGUCCUUUUUUUUUUUUGAGAGAAAGGUAACUGUAAUAUAAAGAUAGCACUAAGUACUGUAGUAAUUACUAGCGAGCAAAAAACCAAAAGAAAAAAUACUUUCCAGUCUUACAGGGAUUCUAAGAGGCAAAGUAUGGAAGCUGUUGCACAAUUUUAACCUCAAUGCAUAAAUGGUUGCACAUUGAACAGAUGGAAAUAAUGGUGAAGGCAUGUGUCAUUCUGCAUGCAGCAGUAGCAGUGGCAAAGAAGAAUUCUCUAGGAUUCGUUACAGUUUUACAAGUGCGGAAAAAUCACGCAGCAGUAAGUGGUGCGUCCAAUAUAUGUGGUUUCAAUCAUUAAUACUUUAUCCCAAAGAACUAAAUAUAGACCUCAAAUAACAUAAAACGCA